rnacentral:rRNA from 1 species
UACGUAGGGGGCAAGCGUUGUUCGGAAUUACUGGGCGUAAAGGGCGCGUAGGCGGCCUGCUAAGUCGAACGUGAAAUCCCUGGGCUCAACCCAGGAACUGCGUCCGAUACUGGUUGGCUUGAAUCCGGGAGAGGGAUGUGGAAUUCCAGGUGUAGCGGUGAAAUGCGUAGAUAUCUGGAGGAACACCGGUGGCGAAGGCGACAUCCUGGACCGGUAUUGACGCUGAGGCGCGAAAGCCAGGGGAGCAAACGGG